UACGUAGGGGGCGAGCGUUGUCCGGAUUUAUUGGGCGUAAAGAGCGCGUAGGCGGCCACUCAAGUCGAUCGUGAAAGCUCGGGGCUCAACCCCGAGAUUGCGGUCGAUACUGAGUGGCUAGAGGCUGGUAGGGGGGUGUGGAAUUCCCGGUGUAGCGGUGGAAUGCGCAGAUAUCGGGAGGAACACCGGUGGCGAAGGCGGCACCCUGGGCCAGUCCUGACGCUGAUGAGCGAAAGCGUGGGGAGCGAACAGG
rnacentral:rRNA from 1 species